rnacentral:rRNA from 1 species
AUUGAACGCUGGCGGCAUGCUUUACACAUGCAAGUCGAACGGCAGCGCGGGCUUCGGCCUGGCGGCUAGUGGCGAACGGGUGAGUAAUGCAUCGGAACGUGCCCAGUGGUGGGGGAUAGCCCGGCGAAAGCCGGAUUAAUACCGCAUACGACCUGAGGGUGAAAGCGGGGGUCCGAAAGGCCUCGCGCUAUUGGAGCGGCCGAUGUCGGGUUAGCUAGUUGGUGGGGUAAAGGCUUACCAAGGCGACGAUCCGUAGCUGGUCUGAGAGGACGACCAGCCACACUGGGACUGAGACACGGCCCAGACUCCUACGGGAGGCAGCAGUGGGGAAUUUUGGACAAUGGGGGCAACCCUGAUCCAGCCAUGCCGCGUGCGGGAAGAAGGCCUUCGGGUUGUAAACCGCUUUUGUUCGGGAAGAAAUCCUCUGGGCUAAUACCCCGGGGGGAUGACGGUACCGGAAGAAUAAGCACCGGCUAACUACGUG